CAGAGUGGAGAGUCAUACUGGCCAUUCCUGGGACCAUCAAAAAUGGCAGAGGUCACACAAAAGGCAAAACCUUUAAGAGGUGUUUUAAACAUCGUAUGGGCCAAAGAGAAUCUGGAUUUCCUAUUGCAGUCAGCUGUAACACACGUGUGACAAAUUGGGCUGUGAGGACAAGGCAGUGAGUAGAGACGACAGCAGUCCUUAUGAGAUCAAGCUCUAAGGUAUCCUAGAUACAUUUGGAGAAUUCACCUGAGCUACAGGAUGUGUCUUGCUCUGUCACCCAGGCCUGGAGUGCAGUGGAGCAAUCUCAGCUCACUGCAGCCUCUUCCUCCCGGAUUCAAGUGAUUCUCCUGCUUCAGACUCCCGAGUAGCUGGGAUUACAGUUUUGAGAAGAAUGCAAAGAAGAAGGGAAGAGUGAGCCUCUCUUUUCCCAUCGUUACCCUCCAUUGUCCUCUUGACACCCUGCUUUUGCAGACAGAGAGUUUGAGACCCUCUCCCAGGAGCCAAGGAGAGGGGAACAGCUGGCUUCACAUCAUCUUUCUAUUCAACAAGACACAAAAAGCUGAAGCCAGGAUGAUAGAAAAGCAACAAAGAAGACACGGUCCUUACUCAUUUCCCUUCCCGCUUCAGAGCAAAUAUGGUGCCUGGUGUUCGAAGGGAGAACUUGUGGGCAGAGCAGGAAGC
rnacentral:lncRNA from 1 species